GACGAACGCUGGCGGCGUGCCUAAUACAUGCAAGUUGAGCGCUGAAGGUUGGUACUUGUACCAACUGGAUGAGCAGCGAACGGGUGAGUAACGCGUGGGGAAUCUGCCUUUGAGCGGGGGACAACAUUUGGAAACGAAUGCUAAUACCGCAUAAAAACUUUAAACACAAGGUUUAAGUGUGAAAGAUGCAAUUGCAUCACUCAAAGAUGAUCCCGCGUUGUAUUAGUUAGUUGGUGAGGUAAAGGCUCACCAAGGCGAUGAUACAUAGCCGACCUGAGAGGGUGAUCGGCCACAUUGGGACUGGGACACGGCCCAAACUCCUUCGGGAGGCAGCAGUAGGGAAUCUUCGGCAAUGGACGAAAGUCUGACCGAGCAACGCCGCGGGAGUGAAGAAGGUUUUCGGAUCGUAAAACUCUGUUGGUAGAGAAGAACGUUGGUGAGAGUGGAAAGCUCAUCAAGUGACGGUAACUACCCAGAAAGGGACGGCUAACUACGUG
rnacentral:rRNA from 1 species